UAUGGUAUGUGCCAGCCGCCGCGGUAAUACGUAGGUCCCGAGCGUUGUCCGGAUUUAUUGGGCGUAAAGCGAGCGCAGGCGGUUUGAUAAGUCUGAAGUUAAAGGCUGUGGCUCAACCAUAGUUCGCUUUGGAAACUGUCAAACUUGAGUGCAGAAGGGGAGAGUGGAAUUCCAUGUGUAGCGGUGAAAUGCGUAGAUAUAUGGAGGAACACCGGUGGCGAAAGCGGCUCUCUGGUCUGUAACUGACGCUGAGGCUCGAAAGCGUGGGGAGCGAACAGG
rnacentral:rRNA from 1 species